AAGUCGUAACAAGGUCUCCGUUGGUGAACCAGCGGAGGGAUCAUUAUCGACAAUUAUAAGUUAUAUGGUACAUGUCUUACAUAAUACAAACAAAACUUUCAACAACGGAUCUCUUGGCUCUGGCAUCGAUGAAGAACGCAGCGAAAUGCGAUACUUAAUAGAAGUUGCAUACGUGAGUCAUCGAGUUUUUGAACGCACAUUGCGCCUGCUGGUACUCCAGCAGGCACGUGGGAGUGAGCGUCAUUUAUAUCGUAGAAGCUGUGUUGUGAUUUCGCGAGAUUCACUAAUUCUAUUGCAAGCAUGCUGAUGUGGUGCUGAAGCAAAAAUGCUUUGACCUCAUUCUCACGGGGACACCCGCUGAACUUAAGCAUAUCAAUAAGCGGAGGAAAAGAAACCAACAGGGAUUGCCUCAGUAACGGCGAGUGAAGCGGCAACAGCUCAAAUUUGAAAUCGGGAAACCGAGUUGUAAUUUAUAGAGGAUGUUUCUGGCAAGGCCGCACCCGAGUUCCAUUGAACAGGACACCACGGAGGGUGAAAGUCCCGUACGGUGCAGGCGGCGCUGGUGUGAAGCUCCUUCAAAGAGUCGAGUAGUUUGGGAAUGCUGCUCUAAAUGGGAGGUAAAUUUCUUCUAAAGCUAAAUACCGGCCAGAGACCGAUAGCGCACAAGUAGAGUGAUCGAAAGAUGAAAAGUACCCUGGAAAGAGGGUUAAAAGUACGUGAAAUUGUUGAAAGGGAAGCACUUGUGAUCAGCCGUGGUGUGGCGGGCCAGCCUCCCUUUUAUUUUGAAAAGAGGCAUGUCCCGACUGCACCAGGUCGGCGUCGGUUUGGCGGGCGCUACAAAAGCCAGGGGAAUGUGACUUGCCUCGGCAAGUGUUACAGCUCCGGUGCAAUGGCGUCAGCUGAACCGAGGACUGCCAUUGAUGGACGCCGACGUAAUGGUCCCCAGUGACC
rnacentral:rRNA from 1 species